rnacentral:rRNA from 1 species
GCUUUUGAAAGAUGGUUUCGGCUAUCGCUUACAGAUGGGCCCGCGGUGCAUUAGCUAGUUGGUAGGGUAAUGGCCUACCAAGGCAACGAUGCAUAGCCGACCUGAGAGGGUGAUCGGCCACACUGGGACUGAGACACGGCCCAGACUCCUACGGGAGGCAGCAGUAGGGAAUCUUCCGCAAUGGACGAAAGUCUGACGGAGCAACGCCGCGUGUAUGAAGAAGGUUUUCGGAUCGUAAAGUACUGUUGUUAGAGAAGAACAAGGAUAAGAGUAACUGCUUGUCCCUUGACGGUAUCUAACCAGAAAGCCACGGCUAACUACGUGCCAGCAGCCGCGGUAAUACGUAGGUGGCAAGCGUUGUCCGGAUUUAUUGGGCGUAAAGCGCGCGCAGGCGGUCUUUUAAGUCUGAUGUGAAAGCCCCCGGCUUAACCGGGGAGGGUCAUUGGAAACUGGAAGACUGGAGUGCAGAAGAGGAGAGUGGAAUUCCACGUGUAGCGGUGAAAUGCGUAGAUAUGUGGAGGAACACCAGUGGCGAAGGCGACUCUCUGGUCUGUAACUGACGCUGAGGCGCGAAAGCGUGGGGAGCAAACAGGAUU